AAACCGUAGGGAAGGUGGGGAUGACGUCAAAUCAUCAUGCCCCUUAUGACCUGGGCUACACACGUGCUACAAUGGAUGGUACAAAGGGCUGCAAGACCGCGAGGUCAAGCCAAUCCCAUAAAACCAUUCUCAGUUCGGAUUGUAGGCUGCAACUCGCCUACAUGAAGCUGGAAUCGCUAGUAAUCGCGGAUCAGCAUGCCGCGGUGAAUACGUUCCCGGGCCUUGUACACACCGCCCGUCACACCACGAGAGUUUGUAACACCCGAAGUCGGUGGAGUAACCGUAAGGAGCUAGCCGCCUAAGGUGGGACAGAUGAUUGGGGUGAAGUCGUAACAAG
rnacentral:rRNA from 1 species